rnacentral:lncRNA from 1 species
GCUUUCACACAGAGAGUCAUCUCCGACGGAAGGGACACGAUGGCUCACGUGGACUUGCUCUGUGGCAUCACCCCCAUUUACUGACCCCGCCACCCUGUAGCCCCCCAGCCCAAACACGCACGUGGGACAAGGAUUAUCACCCAGGGGUUUCGGUACAGGAGCGCACCAGGUCAGUGAACUGAAGAUUUGUCGCGAGUGUCUCCUUGCCUACAGCACCGACCUCCCGCAACACAAGGUUGCCCCUUGGGCUGCAGGGGUACGGGCAGGCAGAGGCAGGGAGGAUGGAAACCUCCUUAAAAGUCAGAAGAAGUAAAGUUCGUGAACUGAGUUUACCAGACAGCUCAACGUGCUGAGUUUGCUACGACAACAGCUCCCUCUCUGUGUCACCGAGAGGGUUCUUUCAGCAGCUACAUCUUUAUGCAGAGAAGCGGCGCUGCCUGGGCAGGCAGUUUGUUGGUAUCAGCUCUACGGAUGGACUUGUACUCUCCCUGAGAAUCUUCUGCUGAUCCUUGCCCAAAAUGUGGUGAGUACUAUGGAGAAACUGUAGUACACUCUACACUUUGUUCUAAAUACGUAUGUAAGCUGAAGCAGAGGAUGUUGUGUAUUUGUUUAAUAGACAGUGGAACUUCAACUCUCGGCUACAUUUGUUUUUUACUUCUAAACUUGAUGAUUGUAUCUCUUCAGAAUUAAGAAAUCUAAUUGCUGAAUCCAAUAGCUUUAUUUAGCGUAAUACAACCUGUCUUUCCAGCGUGUAGAAGGUGUUUAGUACUAAUUACCCUUGUUAUUAGUACGUUCAGUUUACAAACAAAUUUUUAAAAUCUCUAGGUACAGUUAUGACAUAUUAUUUUGUGCUGCACAAUAAAUUCCUUAUUAAUUGCCA